rnacentral:rRNA from 1 species
GUCUAUAGCCAUGCCACCCUGAACAAGCCCAAUGUCUGAUCUUGGAAGUGAAGCAAGGGUGGGCCUGGUUAGUACUUGGAUGGGAGAUCACCUAGGAAGACCAGAUGCUGUAAGCA